GGGAUCAGGGACAUGAGACUAGUACAAUUUGAAUCAUUUAGUAGAAAUAAGGGGGGUAUGGUUUUCACAAGUUUAUAUAUUUUUAUUUAUUUAUUUAUUUAUGCGCUACUUAAAAAUGCUCAAAUCUUAGAAACAUUUUAUCUAUCAAUGUUCAACCAAUCAAAUAGAGUAAAAUAAGUUGACAUACUUCAAUCAAAUCAUGCCAUU
rnacentral:lncRNA from 1 species